rnacentral:rRNA from 1 species
GAUGAACGCUAGCGGCAGGCUUAAUACAUGCAAGUCGAGGGACAGCACAGGUAGCAAUACUGGGUGGUAACCGGCAAACGGGUGCGGAACACGUACACAACCUUCCUUUAAGUGGGGGAUAGCCCAGAGAAAUUUGGGUUAAUACCCCGUAAUAUAGUUGAAUGGCAUCAUUUGAUUAUUAUAGCUACGGCGCUUAAUGAUGGGUGUGCGGCUGAUUAGAUAGUUGGCGGGGUAACGGCCCACCAAGUCUACGAUCAGUAGCUGAUGUGAGAGCAUGAUCAGCCACACGGGCACUGAGACACGGGCCCGACCCCUACGGGAGGCAGCAGUAAGGAAUAUUGGUCAAUGGACGCAAGUCUGAACCAGCCAUGCCGCGUGAAGGAUUAAGGUCCUCUGGAUUGUAAACUUCUUUUAUUUGGGACGAAAAAGGGCCUUUCUAGGUCAACUGACGGUACCAGAUGAAUAAGCACCGGCUAACUCCGUGCCAGCCGCCGCGGUAACAC